CACGUAGGGGGCAAGCGUUGUCCGGAUUUAUUGGGCGUAAAGAGCUCGUAGGCGGCUCAGUAAGUCAGGUGUGAAACCUCCAGGCUCAACCUGGAGACGCCACCUGAUACUGCUGUGGCUUGAGUCCGGUAGGGGAGCGUGGAAUUCCUGGUGUAGCGGUGAAAUGCGCAGAUAUCAGGAGGAACACCAGCGGCGAAGGCGGCGCUCUGGGCCGGUACUGACGCUGAGGAGCGAAAGCGUGGGUAGCAAACAGG
rnacentral:rRNA from 1 species